UUUCGCAAUGCCCGAAAGGGUGACGAAGCGACGCCGCGUGCGGGAAGAAGGCCUUCGGGUUGUAAACCGCUGUCGGGAGUUAAGAAGUGCAAGGGCGUUAAUAGCAUCUUUGCUUGACUAAGGCUCCGGAGGAAGCCACGGCUAACUCUGUGCCAGCAGCCGCGGUAAUACAGAGGCGGCAAGCGUUGUUCGGAAUUAUUGGGCGUAAAGAGCACGUAGGCGGCUAUGCAAGUCGGUUGUGAAAGCCUUCCGCUCAACGGAAGAACGGCAUCCGAUACUGCAUGGCUCGAGUGCGGGAGGGGAGAGUGGAACUUCUGGUGGAGCGGUGAAAUGCGUAGAUAUCAGAAGGAACACCGGCGGCGAAAGCGACUCUCUAGCCCGUAACUGACGCUGAGUGUGCGAAAGCUAGGGGAGCAAACGGGAUUAGAUACCCCGGUAGUCCUAGCCGUAAACGAUGGGCACUAAGUAGAGGGGUUUU
rnacentral:rRNA from 1 species